rnacentral:rRNA from 1 species
AUUUUUUACAAUUGGGGAAACCCUGCUCCAGCCAUCCCGCGUGUGUGAUGAAGGCCUUCGGGUUGUAAAGCAAUUUUGACAGGGAAGAAAUAGCAGGGACUAAUAUCCGCUGUGAAUGACGGUACCUGUAGAAAAAGCCCCCGCCAACUACGUGUCAGGAGCCGCGGUAAUACGUAUGGUGCAAGCGUUAAUCGGAAUUACUGGGCGUAAAGGGUACGCAGGCGGCUAGGAAAGAAAGAUGUGAAAUCCCAGGGCUCAACCUUGGAACUGCAUUUUUAACUACCUAGCUAGAGUAUGUCAGAGGGGGGUAGAAUUCCACGUGUAGCAGUGAAAUGCGUAGAGAUGUGGAGGAAUACCGAUGGCGAAGGCAGCCCCCUGGGAUAAUACUGACGCUCAGGUACGAAAGCGUGGGGAGCAAACA